AGAGUUUGAUCAUGGCUCAGAUUGAACGCUGGCGGCAUGCCUUACACAUGCAAGUCGAACGGUAACAGGUCUUCGGAUGCUGACGAGUGGCGAACGGGUGAGUAAUACAUCGGAACGUGCCCGAUCGUGGGGGAUAACGAAGCGAAAGCUUUGCUAAUACCGCAUACGAUCUACGGAUGAAAGCAGGGGACCGCAAGGCCUUGCGCGAACGGAGCGGCCGAUGGCAGAUUAGGUAGUUGGUGGGAUAAAAGCUUACCAAGCCGACGAUCUGCAGCUGGUCUGAGAGGACGACCAGCCACACUGGGACUGAGACACGGCCCAGACUCCUACGGGAGGCAGCAGUGGGGAAUUUUGGACAAUGGGCGAAAGCCUGGUCCAGCCAUGCCGCGUGCAGGAUGAAGGCCUUCGGGUUGUAAACUGCUUUUGUACGGAACGAAUAGACUCUGGUUAAUACCUGGGGUCCAUGACGGUACCGUAAGAAUAAGCACCGGCUAACUACGUGCCAGCAGCCGCGGUAAUACGUAGGGUGCAAGCGUUAAUCGGAAUUACUGGGCGUAAAGCGUGCGCAGGCGGUUAUAUAAGACAGAUGUGAAAUCCCCGGACUCAACCUGGGAACUGCAUUUGUGACUGUAUAGCUAGAGUACGGCAGAGGGGAUGGAAUUCCGCG
rnacentral:rRNA from 1 species